rnacentral:rRNA from 1 species
UACGAAGGGGGCUAGCGUUGUUCGGAAUUACUGGGCGUAAAGCGUGCGCAGGCGGCUUCUCAAGUCAGGGGUGAAAGCCCAGAGCUCAACUCUGGAACUGCCUUUGAGACUGAGAGGCUUGAGUACGGGAGAGGUGAGUGGAAUUCCCAGUGUAGAGGUGAAAUUCGUAGAUAUUGGGAAGAACACCGGUGGCGAAGGCGGCUCACUGGGCCCCGUAACUGACGCUCAUGCACGACAGCGUGGGGAUCAAACAGG